ensembl:lncRNA
GGAACUGGAAGGCAGGUGUUCUUCCUAGUUAGGUCCUUAGAUGUGCGCAGGGGAGGCGUCGACCCGCCCUAGACCUACUGGAAACUGCAUCUGGAGAAAGGCACUUGGCAAAGAGAGAGAGAGUCCGGAAGCCCCAGGUCUUUCAGUUAAAUAGUCCGAAAUAUUAAGGUGAUGGAGAAAGCUAGAGCUAGUUUCUACCGCAGAAUUGAAAUGGACCACGAAUCCUUUCUCAUCUUCUUAAAUCGUAUUUUCUCUUCCCAUUAUUACCUUUUGUCUCUGCUUCUCUUCCAGUCUCUCAUCCCAAGCCCUGCUGAGCAUAAAUAGCUAGGUUCCUAUUCUCCUGAUCUCUGCUGCUGAGCAACUUUCUAGAAGUUUGGGAGAAUUCUGGUUAUCCAAAUUCCUCCGCUUGGCAAUCCGACCUCAGCAAAUCUUCUUUCCUAGGAAGAGGCUUGAAUGGCACAACGUGAAAAAAGCGGGGUGUUUCGCAUUCUGUUUCAGCACAUACCCUACAGGGAGACAAGGAGAGGACUGAGCACUGGGAUCAAAUAGAUAUGUCUAAUCCAUCUUCCACAUGGCAACCCUUGAAGAUAUAGACAGCCUCAGUCUUAUUAAUUACCUAAGUAGAAGGUCAGCUUCUGUCCCAGAGGAGGAACACCUGGGAAAUGAGGAUGAAGGUUGCAUGUCUUUGCAAGAUACCUUCCUUCAAUAUGCAUCCAUAUGGAUUAUAUUGUACAUUUUGCAUAUGCAUAUGUAUGUAUAUGUAUAGACACACGUGUGCAUACGCAUGCAUUACAUAGCCCAGUUACAUAAGACACUCUUCAUUGGUGGUGACUGAUUACUCAGUGCUUCACAGCAAUGUAAGGGGUACAGUUGGUGAGAGAGAAGAGAGAUCGCAGUUCUCCUGGGUUCCAGUUCUUAGAGAGAAGACACCGGGUUUCCCAAUCUCUUUGGGAUGUAAGGGAUGACAGGCUGCUUUGUGUGGCUUUGCUUUUCUGAGUCACCAGUACUUAACAUGGUACUUGGUCCAUAGUGGGUGUUUCAGAAAUGUUUGUUGACUUGAUAACUGUCAGGAAGAGAACAUUUCCCAUUUCCAUUUUGCUAGGACUGUCCCUCCACUUGUAGCUUUAACUCCUGAAUCCGGCAGCAUGGUUUUGUUUUCCAGGACAUGAGGUCUGCAGAUGACAGCUUAGCCAUAGAAGGAUCUGUGAAGCUUCUGCUAUAGAAACAAGGAUAGGAGAGGUAUGUGCAGAUUUGGAUGGUGGGAAGUGACUAAAGGACUUAAACUUUUGACUUAGAUAUUUGACAGCAUCAGUGUUGAUCCUUCCCCAAACUUCUGUUUACAAACCUCAUUUCAGCAGAAUGCUAAGGGGAUUAAAGAGCAACCGCAGUAAUAACAGACAGAAGGUGAAGAUCUCCAUCUGAGUAUGAUGUCCUGUCACAUUCUUCCAGGGUCUUAAAACAGUUCCUUAGAGACUCACUUACUUUGUUCUUGGCAUACAUUUAGAGAUCCUCUGUCCUGCCUGCAGUUUGUCAGAGUCUGCCCCGUAGUCCCUGGGAUCAGUAACGGCUUUGUACUUUAGCAGCUUAGGUGAUGCAGUAGAAAGAGUGCUAGGGCUCGGGUCAGAAAGUCUCAUCUUCAUGAGUUCAAAUCCAGCCUCAAACAUUUACUAGCUGUGUGAGCCUGGGCAAAUCACUUAAUCCUUUAAUCAUUUGUAAAAGAAGUUGAAGGAAAUGGAAAGUCACUCCAGCAUCCAUGCCAAUAAAACCCCAAAUGGAGUCA